rnacentral:ribozyme from 1 species
UUUUUUUUUUUUUUUUUUUUUUUUUUUUUUUCACUAACGUGUC